UACAGAGGGUGCGAGCGUUAAUCGGAAUUACUGGGCGUAAAGCGUGCGUAGACGGUUGCAUAAGUCGGAUGUGAAAUCCCCGGGCUCAACCUGGGAAUGGCAUUCGGGACUGCAAGGCUGGAGUGCGGCAGAGGAGACUGGAAUUCCUGGUGUAGCAGUGAAAUGCGUAGAUAUCAGGAGGAAUACCGAUGGCGAAGGCAGGUCUCUGGGCUGACACUGACGCUCAUGCACGAAAGCGUGGGGAGCAAACAGG
rnacentral:rRNA from 1 species